CCUACGGGAGGCAGCAGUCGGGAAUUUUGGGCAAUGGGCGAAAGCCUGACCCAGCAACGCCGCGUGAAGGAUGAAAUCCCUCGGGAUGUAAACUUCGCAAGAAUGGGAAGAAUUAGUAGGGGUUAAUACCCCCUAUGAUGACGGUACCAUUUGUAAGCUCCGGCUAACUCCGUGCCAGCAGCCGCGGUAAU
rnacentral:rRNA from 2 species